rnacentral:lncRNA from 1 species
GCAUUAAAUGCAGACACUGUGGUUCAUUGCGACAUAGACGUUAUGUACAUGACUUCUCUUCUAGGUAACUUAUUAUUUUCUCCCUUUAUACACAUGCUUCUUUCAUCAUUUUUCCAAGGGAAACUGAUGGUUUAUUCCGCACUUUUCAUUACAUUCGAAUUUAUAGUUAAUUACCUUUUCUAAAUCAAUCCACAACCAUAAGUAUCUAAAGUAAAAUUCAUUUGCCAAUUGUGCAUGUACACACCAAAUAUUGAAGUUUAAUUUGUUUGUGUUCUUGCAGGAACACUGUCUUAUCAUGUGCUUGCAGGAAGAACGGACGGCGGGCAUUAAAUGCAGACACUGUGGUUCAUUGCGACAUAGAUGUUAUGUACAUGACUUCUCUUUUAGGUAACUUAUUCUUUUCCCCCUUUAUACACAUGCUUCUUUCAUCAUUUUUCCAAGGGAAACUGAUGGUUUAUUCUGCACUUUUCAUUACAUUCGGAUUUAUAGAUAAUUACCUUUUCUAAAUCAAUCCACAACCAUAAGUAUCUAAAGUAAAAUUCA